rnacentral:tRNA from 1 species
GUGCUUUAGCUCAGUUGGGAGAGCACCUGCCUUACAAGCAGGGGGUCACUGGUUCGAGCCCGGUAUCGCCCACCA